rnacentral:rRNA from 1 species
AUUGAACGCUGGCGGCAGGCCUAACACAUGCAAGUCGAGCGGAUGAAGGGAGCUUGCUCCUGGAUUCAGCGGCGGACGGGUGAGUAAUGCCUAGGAAUCUGCCUGGUAGUGGGGGAUAACGUCCGGAAACGGGCGCUAAUACCGCAUACGUCCUGAGGGAGAAAGUGGGGGAUCUUCGUACCUCACGCUAUCAGAUGAGCCUAGGUCGGAUUAGCUAGUUGGUGGGGUAAAGGCCUACCAAGGCGACGAUCCGUAACUGGUCUGAGAGGAUGAUCAGUCACACUGGAACUGAGACACGGUCCAGACUCCUACGGGAGGCAGCAGUGGGGAAUAUUGGACAAUGGGCGAAAGCCUGAUCCAGCCAUGCCGCGUGUGUGAAGAAGGUCUUAGGAUUGUAAAGCACUUUAAGUUGGGAGGAAGGGAAGUAAGUUAAUACCUUGCUGUAUUGACGUUACCAACAGAAUAAGCACCGGCUAACUUCGUG